rnacentral:rRNA from 1 species
AACGAACGCUGGCGGCAGGCCUAACACAUGCAAGUCGAACGCUGUAGCAAUACAGAGUGGCAGACGGGUGAGUAACGCGGGGGAACAUGCCCUUCGGUUCGGAAUAACUCAGGGAAACUUGAGCUAAUGCCGGAUACGCCCCUAGGGGGCAAGAUUUAUUGCCGAAGGAUUGGCCCGCGUACGAGUAGGUAGUUGGUGAGGUAACGGGUCCCCAAGGCGACGAUCGGUAGCUGGUCUGAGAGGAUGAUACACCCAACUGGGAGUGGGACACGGCCCAGACUCCUACGGGAGGCAGCAGUGGGGAAUAUUGGACAAUGGGCGCAAGCCUGAUCCAGCCAUGCCGCGUGAGUGAUGAAGGCCCUAGGGUUGUAAAGCUCUUUCGCCAGGGACGAUAAUGACGGUACCUGGAUAAGAAGCCCCGGCUAACUUCGUGCCAGCCGCCGCCGUAAAAC